GUCCCAUUUAUUGGUCAAAUUCACCAUUUUGAUCAUAAUAUUCACCAUCACAAUCAGAUGCCCCUAAGAUAGUCAAUAUAAGGUGAAUACUACUAAGGACAAGUGAAGGCAUAAUUUCAUUAUCUAUUAACAUUUAAAUCAUCUCUUUAAAAAUAUGACCCAAUCACUUAUGUCAUAAUGCAGAAAAUUAGUCCUUAACAAACUAUCUUUUAAAGGAUAAAACAAAUAUAUAUAUAUAUAUAUGGUUUUAAGCUAGCUAAAUUGCACAGAGAGAGAAUUAAAAGCUCAAUGAGCA
rnacentral:lncRNA from 1 species